rnacentral:miRNA from 1 species
CAGAAGAGAGACAGGAUCUAG